GAGACGGACACGUCAUUGCUCAUAUAUAUAUAUAUAUAUAUAUAUUUAUACCUUGUUCGCUGUAUUUUUAAUCCUAUGUUUUUAGCAAGAAAAAAAUUAAUUCAUAAUAAUAAUACAUUCAAUUGUAUAUAUUGCCCUGGUGCAAUUUAGAAGUUGAACCAAUCAUGACGACUAGAGCACUUUCCUCUAAAAUGCUUUUGCCGAGUUCAGGCGCUAUUCGGAACUAGGAAAUGUCGGACAUUUCCGAAUUUCUAGUUCUGACAAGCAAAAUGCCGCGUUCAAAACUCUCGUACUGCCGACUUCAUUUCGGUCAAAACAACUGGGAACUCAGAAAGAAACAACCUCCGACUGGAAAACAUCGAUUUGAACGGUCUUUCAACUCGGGAACUCGGGCUCUUUCUAGAGCUCAUUUUAUUUUAUAUAAUGUAGAACACUCUGUAUACAUACAAGAAGUACACACAUAGACAAUGAUAACAUGCUAGGGGGUACAACAAAUUACAGAUUAUACAAAGACCUUAAAACAAUCAAUAUGUGUGCUUCUUUUAACAACUUUCUUAUUAGAAGAAUGUGGAAUGGUCUUAUUGUACUGCUCGAAUUCCUUAUAGUAAACACGGAACUGUUUUUUUUUAUUAGUGAAUUUAUGAAUAUGACAUUUUUCCAUUAGCACAAUUAUAUUUGAGGUAAAAUUGUUUUUAUCUUUAUUAUGGUUAAGGAAACCGAGCAGCACAUUCACCCAUAACAAACCAAAGUAAUCAAGAAUAUUAACAAUUAUAAAACUGAAUAUCUUUCCAUAAUUGUUUUACAUGUAGACAAUGCCAAAGUAAAUGUGAACCUGUUUCUGGAUGCUCAAAACAAAAGUAGAAUCAAUGUUAAUGUCUUUUUUUUUAUUUUUUACUUUCUUCGGGUAAUGAUUUGCAGGGUAAUAUUUAUGGAUCAUUCUGAAAGAGACCUUUUUGACCAAGCAAGUAUUUGUGUGGUAAUAACCAGACUUUUUUCCAACAGAUAUUAGUGACCAAUGUAUUCCAGUAACUUGUGACAUAAGGAAUGAAGACAAUAUCCCUUUGAAAUAAAGCACGUAUAGAUCUGUUGUUCUGAGGGAGGAAGGAGAAACAUAUUUUCCCUAUUGGAGAGAACUGGAUUAAGCAAGGGUAGGUCAAGAAGGUGAGGUCUGGCUACAUCUCUAAAUAACAUGAGCGUUCCAGAUGGAAUAGCAUCAAAGACUAUGGCGAACUCUCUAGGUGUUACAGGGAUAUUGUAACGAGAUAAAAAUUCCUCAUAAUUGUGUGACAAUCUUUCUGCAUUAAAAAGUUGACUCACCAGCAGGAUAUGAUAAUUGAACCAGUUCUUUAAAAAUAAAGACUUGUUUCUUUACAAAAUGUCCUUAUUGAUCCAAAUGAAAUACCUAUGCGGGGAACAAUUAUGUUUAUAUAUUAAUGACCACGCUAAGAAUACUUCUCUAUGAAAAGCAGAUAAUUUUGUGUAACCGAUGUGAAAUGGCUAGCUAGUUAACCUGAAGUAGUUGUUCCCCUUGCCCUGCAAGGGCCGUGGCUUUUGUGGAGCGAUGGGUAACGAUGCUUUGAGGGUGGCUGUUGUUGAUUUGGGUCCCUGGGGCGAGGAGAGGGACGGAAGCAAAACUUACAUUUGCAGGAGUCUUAUCAAUGUUACAGUUACAAAGUAACAUAAAAUUGAGGCCACCAAAAUGGGAGAAGAUAUAAUGAAGGAUGAAAUUCCAAUUUGAAGUUGGAUUCUUUAAAAAAAAAUUGCCCAAUUUAUCUUAAGUAUUAUUCAAAGUAGGAAAAUCUUUAAAAAAUUGAGACCACCAUAUUCAUACGAGUUCAUAAAGACAGAUUUCCUAAUAUGUGUACGAUUUUUCCAGAUGAAGUUGAAAAGCACCUGGUCAACCGUUUUACCUAUUUUGUUGUCAAGAUAUAGGGACUGGGCUGCAUAAGUAUACAAUCUAAUGAGCAUCUUUCCUGUUGAUCCUUCGAUAUGGUAAUCCCAAGGUAUGUUACUUUUCCCUUGACUGGAAUAUUGCAUAUAGAGGUUAUCACACAGUCUUUAACAGCAAACAAUUCACACAAUUAUUUUUAGAGCUCUGACUCAUCGACCGGAAGAUCACUGACGUCAUGAUUUGUCUCGUAUUUUUCCGAGUUCCCAGUUGCUUUGAAUGCAGCAUUAGUUCCUAUGAUCCAUGCCAAAGAAUCAGUGAUCAUCAUAAUGACAAGCAAUACACUGAAUAAGAAGAGGACACUUUUAUUGAUAUACAAGGUACAACUUACUUUACGUCCUUUUGAGAGUACAACAUAUGUACAUGUAUAAUAAAAGGAAUAAAGGACUGUUUUUGAAAUAACUUAA